AUUUUGUCUGUACAACAAUGUUUUAAUCUAUAUUUAAGAACAUCUUUUUUCUUUGGAAAAACGAAAAACAAAAAGGUGAAUCAGAGAUAAAAGGAAUAAAUAAAGGAAAAAAAAUGAAACACAAUAAAAUAGAAAUAAAAUAAAAAAAAAGGAAAAAUAAAAAUCAUGAAGGCAUCAAAUAAAAAUAACCGAAAAAGAAAGGAAAAUAAAAUAAAAACCUUUUUUUCUAAAAAAGAAAAUAAACUUAAAUGAAAUUGGUCUCUGCAUCUUAUUAUUCUUCUUUCUUGACUCUAGAUAUUUUUAUUUGCCUACCCGGACGAAAUUGGGUAUUUACACAAAUAACGAUGUUUUAC
rnacentral:lncRNA from 1 species